AUCACUUCUCGGCCUUUUGGCUAAGAUCAAGUGUAAAAAAAAUACUUUAUUUAUUUUUUUUAAGUUUAUUCAUUUAUUUUGAGAGAGACAGCAUAAAUGGAGGAGGGUCAGAGAACGUGGGAGAAUCCUAACCAGG
rnacentral:snRNA from 1 species